GGGUUGUGAGGUUAAGCGACUAAGCGUACACGGUGGAUGCCCUGGCAGUCAGAGGCGAUGAAGGACGUGCUAAACUGCGAAAAGCGUCGGUAAGGUGAUAUGAACCGUUAUAACCGGCGAUGUCCGAAUGGGGAAACCCAGUGCAAUUCGUUGCACUAUCGUUAACUGAAUACAUAGGUUAACGAGGCGAACCGGGGGAACUGAAACAUCUAAGUACCCCGAGGAAA
rnacentral:rRNA from 1 species